rnacentral:rRNA from 1 species
GGUUAAGCGACUAAGCGUACACGGUGGAUGCCCUGGCAGUCAGAGGCGAUGAAGGACGUGCUAAUCUGCGAAAAGCGUCGGUAAGGUGAUAUGAACCGUUAUAACCGGCGAUGUCCGAAUGGGGAAACCCAGUGUGUUUCGACACACUAUCAUUAACUGAAUCCAUAGGUUAAUGAGGCGAACCGGGGGAACUGAAACAUCUAAGUACCCCGAGGAAAAGAAAUCAACCGAGAUUCCCCCAGUAGCGGCGAGCGAACGGGGAGGAGCCCAGAGCCUGAAUCAGUGUGUGUGUUAGUGGAAGCGUCUGGAAAGGCGCGCGAUACAGGGUGACAGCCCCGUACACAAAAAUGCACAUAUUGUGAGCUCGAUGAGUAGGGCGGGACACGUGGUAUCCUGUCUGAAUAUGGGGGGACCAUCCUCCAAGGCUAAAUACUCCUGACUGACCGAUAGUGAACCAGUACCGUGAGGGAAAGGCGAAAAGAACCCCGGCGAGGGGAGUGAAAAAGAACCUGAAACCGUGUACGUACAAGCAGUGGGAGCCCUGAUUUAUCAGGGUGACUGCGUACCUUUUGUAUAAUGGGUCAGCGACUUAUAUUCUGUAGCAAGGUUAACCGAAUAGGGGAGCCGGAGGGAAACCGAGUCUUAACUGGGCGUUAAGUUGCAGGGUAUAGACCCGAAACCCGGUGAUCUAGCCAUGGGCAGGUUGAAGGUUGGGUAACACUAACUGGAGGACCGAACCGACUAAUGUUGAAAAAUUAGCGGAUGACUUGUGGCUGGGGGUGAAAGGCCAAUCAAACCGGGAGAUAGCUGGUUCUCCCCGAAAGCUAUUUAGGUAGCGCCUCGUGAAUUCAUCUCCGGGGGUAGAGCACUGUUUCGGCAAGGGGGUCAUCCCGACUUACCAACCCGAUGCAAACUGCGAAUACCGGAGAAUGUUAUCACGGGAGACACACGGCGGGUGCUAACGUCCGUCGUGAAGAGGGAAACAACCCAGACCGCCAGCUAAGGUCCCAAAGUCAUGGUUAAGUGGGAAACGAUGUGGGAAGGCCCAGACAGCCAGGAUGUUGGCUUAGAAGCAGCCAUCAUUUAAAGAAAGCGUAAUAGCUCACUGGUCGAGUCGGCCUGCGCGGAAGAUGUAACGGGGCUAAACCAUGCACCGAAGCUGCGGCAGCGACGCUGAUGCGUUGUUGGGUAGGGGAGCGUUCUGUAAGCCUGUGAAGGUGUGCUGUGAGGCAUGCUGGAGGUAUCAGAAGUGCGAAUGCUGACAUAAGUAACGAUAAAGCGGGUGAAAAGCCCGCUCGCCGGAAGACCAAGGGUUCCUGUCCAACGUUAAUCGGGGCAGGGUGAGUCGACCCCUAAGGCGAGGCCGAAAGGCGUAGUCGAUGGGAAACAGGUUAAUAUUCCUGUACUUGGUGUUACUGCGAAGGGGGGACGGAGAAGGCUAUGUUGGCCGGGCGACGGUUGUCCCGGUUUAAGCGUGUAGGCUGGUUUUCCAGGCAAAUCCGGAGAAUCAAGGCUGAGGCGUGAUGACGAGGCACUACGGUGCUGAAGCAACAAAUGCCCUGCUUCCAGGAAAAGCCUCUAAGCAUCAGGUAACAUCAAAUCGUACCCCAAACCGACACAGGUGGUCAGGUAGAGAAUACCAAGGCGCUUGAGAGAACUCGGGUGAAGGAACUAGGCAAAAUGGUGCCGUAACUUCGGGAGAAGGCACGCUGAUAUGUAGGUGAAGCGACUUGCUCGUGGAGCUGAAAUCAGUCGAAGAUACCAGCUGGCUGCAACUGUUUAUUAAAAACACAGCACUGUGCAAACACGAAAGUGGACGUAUACGGUGUGACGCCUGCCCGGUGCCGGAAGGUUAAUUGAUGGGGUCAGCGCAAGCGAAGCUCUUGAUCGAAGCCCCGGUAAACGGCGGCCGUAACUAUAACGGUCCUAAGGUAGCGAAAUUCCUUGUCGGGUAAGUUCCGACCUGCACGAAUGGCGUAAUGAUGGCCAGGCUGUCUCCACCCGAGACUCAGUGAAAUUGAACUCGCUGUGAAGAUGCAGUGUACCCGCGGCAAGACGGAAAGACCCCGUGAACCUUUACUAUAGCUUGACACUGAACACUGGUCCUUGAUGUGUAGGAUAGGUGGGAGGCUUUGAAGUGUGGACGCCAGUCUGCAUGGAGCCGUCCUUGAAAUACCACCCUUUAAUGGCUGGUGUUCUAACGUUGGCCCGUAAUCCGGGUUGCGGACAGUGUCUGGUGGGUAGUUUGACUGGGGCGGUCUCCUCCUAAAGAGUAACGGAGGAGCACGAAGGUUGGCUAAUCCUGGUCGGACAUCAGGAGGUUAGUGCAAUGGCAUAAGCCAGCUUGACUGCGAGCGUGACGGCGCGAGCAGGUGCGAAAGCAGGUCAUAGUGAUCCGGUGGUUCUGAAUGGAAGGGCCAUCGCUCAACGGAUAAAAGGUACUCCGGGGAUAACAGGCUGAUACCGCCCAAGAGUUCAUAUCGACGGCGGUGUUUGGCACCUCGAUGUCGGCUCAUCACAUCCUGGGGCUGAAGUAGGUCCCAAGGGUAUGGCUGUUCGCCAUUUAAAGUGGUACGCGAGCUGGGUUUAGAACGUCGUGAGACAGUUCGGUCCCUAUCUGCCGUGGGCGCUGGAGAACUGAGGGGGGCUGCUCCUAGUACGAGAGGACCGGAGUGGACGCAUCACUGGUGUUCGGGUUGUCAUGCCAAUGGCACUGCCCGGUAGCUAAAUGCGGAAGAGAUAAGUGCUGAAAGCAUCUAAGCACGAAACUUGCCCCGAGAUGAGUUCUCCCUGAGACAUUAAGUCUCCUGAAGGAACGUUGAAGACGACGACGUUGAUAGGCCGGGUGUGUAAGCGCAGCGAUGCGUUGAGCUAACCGGUACUAAUGAACCGUGAGGCUUAACCUU